AUCUCAUUACCUUUGAAGAUAUUGGAAACCUAAUAAAGCAAAAACAAAUUGCCAACAAUGUCAUUGAUGGCUAUGGAGAGAUCCUAUUUGCUGACCAAAGGAGAAAACGACAACAACCAACUUCAUAUUUUUUCACAUCCAUGAGCUUAAUAACGGAAAAUCAAACUUUCCGAGUCUCAUUAUUUGACAAGCAUCUUGAAACAGCAUGAAGAAAUUACA